rnacentral:rRNA from 1 species
GAAUCCUGGACAAUGGGGGCAACCCUGAUCCAGCGACGCCGCGUGGGUGAUGAAGGCCUUCGGGUUGUAAAGCCCUUUCGCCGGGGACGAUGAUGACGCUACCCGGUGACGAAGCACCGGCUAACUCCGUGCCAGCCGCCGCGGUAAGACGGAGGGUGCGAGCGUUGUUCGGAAUUACUGGGCGUAAAGGGCGCGUAGGCGGCCUGGGAAGUCGGCUUGUGAAAGCCCGGGGCUCAACCCCGGAGGUGCGGCCGAUACUCCCUGGCUGGAGGUCGGAAGAGGAGGGUGGAAUACCCAGUGUAGAGGUGAAAUUCGUAGAUAUUGGGUGGAACACCGGUGGCGAAAGCGGCUCUCUGGUCCGGACCUGACGCUGAGGCGCGAAAGCGUGGGGAGCAAACAGG